UGUAAUCCGGUUCAGAUUUGCAUCCGUUUGGUUAGGCUUCACAAAAGCAUGGAUUUUUUAUGCAAAAUUGUAUGUAGGCUUGGGUUUGAAUCGAAAACAGGAGAAAAUAUUGUUUUCUCAAAAUGAAAGAAAAAAUUUGCUCCUCUCGACCAACGAAAUAGGUAUUGUGGUUGUAUCAAUUUUGAGGGUUUUUCUCCAAAAACCUCGAAGAGAGAGUGACAGGAGAACGACGAACAGAGAGAGAGAGAGAGAGAGAGGAGAAGGAAUGACUCUGGACUUAGCUCUGCUGAUCUCCACGAAUUUGUUCCCAUUUUGAUAUUUUGUUUCUCAUUUCAUUUUUUUUUUUUCCGUUUUCAGGUCAUUACCUCACUAGAAGAGAGAGCUUCUCAAAAUCCAUUGUUUGCCUUCGUUUUUAGAGAGGUCCUGGGUGUUCUUCACUUGGAGAUGGGGCAAUGGCGGAGCUUGGCCCGUUCAGAGUGCAAAGCGAUGGCAGAACACUUUAUUGAAACCCAUAUGCAUGGAAUCAAGUGGCCAAUGUUUUGUUCCUGGAGUCUCUUACUGGUGUACAUUUUUCCUACUCCAACACAAGUUCCAAUUACAGUACAAGAGGAGAUCAAAGUACAGCUGAGGAUAAUUGUGUUUCUGGUGAAUUGGCUAGAGAGAUUCCCCGAGUACAAGACCAGAGAUUUCUAUGUUGUUGGAGAGAGGUAUGUUGGGCAAUGUGUGCCUCAGCUUGCCAAUGCAAUUCUUCAAAACAAGAAUGAAGGAAUGAACAAUAUCAAUCUUAGAGGGAUCAUGGUCCGAGUCUCUCACUUUCUCUUUCUCCUGGGUUAAAACGAGGAUAGAGAAUUGGUUUUAUGGUAUCUGAUAGGGCUGUUCACAAAAUUGUAAAAACCGAGGCCGAACCGAUCUGAUUCAACCCGAUUUAUUCGAUUCUCAAAAACAAUCAAUUGGUUUCGGUUUGAAAAACUUUAGAACCCGAUCAUUUUGGUUUGGUUUCGAGUUAUGAUUUUAUAAACCGAAUCAAAACCAAUCUGAACUGAUGUAAGAAUAAAAGCUUCAAAUUUUGUACAAUAUUGUCUUUA